UAACUUAGUGGCAGACGGGUGAGUAACGCGUGAGUAACCUGCCUUUCAGAGGGGGAUAACGUCCUGAAAAGGACGCUAAUACCGCAUGAUAUAUUUGUGCCGCAUGGUAUGGAUAUCAAAGGAGCAAUCCGCUGGAAGAUGGACUCGCGUCCGAUUAGCUAGUUGGAGGGGUAACGGCCCACCAAGGCGACGAUCGGUAGCCGGACUGAGAGGUUGAACGGCCACAUUGGGACUGAGACACGGCCCAGACUCCUACGGGAGGCAGCAGUGGGGGAUAUUGCGCAAUGGGGGAAACCCUGACGCAGCAACGCCGCGUGAAGGAAGAAGGUUUUCGGAUUGUAAACUUCUUUUCUAAGGGACGAAGAAGUGACGGUACCUUAGGAAUAAGCUCCGGCUAACUACGUGCCAGCAGCCGCGGUAAUACGUAGGGAGCAAGCGUUGUCCGGAUUUACUGGGUGUAAAGGGUGCGUAGGCGGCAAUGCAAGUCAGAUGUGAAAUGCACGGGCUCAACCCGUGAGCUGCAUUUGAAACUGUGUUGCUUGAGUGAGGUAGAGGCAGGCGGAAUUCCCGGUGUAGCGGUGAAAUGCGUAGAGAUCGGGAGGAACACCAGUGGCGAAGGCGGCCUGCU
rnacentral:rRNA from 1 species